rnacentral:rRNA from 1 species
CCCUUAGAUGUUCUGGGCAGCACGCGCGCUACAAUGGUCUUCGCAAACGGAUGCAUUCUCGAAGGAGAAUGCCAAUCUUGGAAUCUAUGCCUUGGUCGGGACAGUUGCUUGCAAUUUUUCGACUCGAACCAGGAAUUCCUUGUAAUCGUGAUUCAUCACAUCACGAUGAAUACGUCCCUGCCCUUUGUACACACCGCCCGUCGCUCCUACCGAUCGAAGAGUUAGGUGAAUUGUUUUGAUCGAUAAGAUUUGACUAUGGUCAACUCUCGUUGUAAAAUUCUGUGAAUCUGACUGUUUAGAGGAAGGAAAAGUCGUAACA